AUGAACGCUGGCGGCGUGCCUAAUACAUGCAAGUCGCGCGAACAGACGAGGAGCUUGCUCCUCUGACGUUAGCGGCGGACGGGUGAGUAACACGUGGAUAACCUACCUAUAAGACUGGGAUACUUCGGGAAACCGGAGCUAAUACCGGAUAAUAUAUUGAACCGCAUGGUUCAAUAGUGAAAGACGGUUUUGCUGUCACUUAUAGAUGGAUCCGCGCCGCAUUAGCUAGUUGGUAAGGUAACGGCUUACCAAGGCAACGAUGCGUAGCCGACCUGAGAGGGUGAUCGGCCACACUGGAACUGAGACACGGUCCAGACUCCUACGGGAGGCAGCAGUAGGGAAUCUUCCGCAAUGGGCGAAAGCCUGACGGAGCAACGCCGCGUGAGUGAUGAAGGUCUUCGGAUCGUAAAACUCUGUUAUUAGGGAAGAACAAAUGUGUAAGUAACUAUGCACGUCUUGACGGUACCUAAUCAGAAAGCCACGGCUAACUACGUG
rnacentral:rRNA from 1 species